rnacentral:rRNA from 1 species
GAUGAACGCUGGCGGCAUGCCUAAUACAUGCAAGUCGAACGGAAGCAGCAAUGCUUUAGUGGCGAACGGGUGAGUAACACGUAGGGAACCUACCUAUACGACGAGGAUAACUACUGGAAACGGUAGCUAAAACUGGAUAGGAUCAAUUGAGGCAUCUUGAUUGAUUUAAAGAUCCUUCGGGAUUACGUAGAGAUGGCCCUGCGGCGCAUUAGCUAGUUGGUGAGGUAACGGCCCACCAAGGCGACGAUGCGUAGCUGAGCUGAGAGGCUAAACAGCCACACUGGGACUGAGACACGGCCCAGACUCCUACGGGAGGCAGCAGUAGGGAAUUUUCGGCAAUGGGGGAAACCCUGACCGAGCAAUGCCGCGUGAACGAUGAAGGUCUUCGGAUUGUAAAGUUCUGUGAUUGGGGAAGAAUGGUAUUCUUAGGGAAUGAGGAGUACAUGACGGUACCCGAUUAGAAAGCCCCGGCUAACUAUGUGCCAGCAGCCGAC